rnacentral:rRNA from 1 species
UACGUAGGGGGCUAGCGUUGUCCGGAAUCAUUGGGCGUAAAGCGCGCGUAGGCGGUCAGGUAAGUCCGGUGUGAAAGUCAAAGGCUCAACCUUUGAAUGCCGCUGGAUACUGCCUGACUUGAGUCCGGAAGGGGCGAGUGGAAUUCCUGGUGUAGCGGUGAAAUGCGUAGAUAUUGGGAGGAACACCAGUGGCGAAGGCGGCUCACUGGACCGGAACUGACGCUGAGGCGCGAAAGCGUGGGGAGCAAACAGG